CCUACGGGGGGCUGUAGUGGGGAAUAUUGGACAAUGGGGGCAACCCUGAUCCAGCCAUGCCGCGUGUGUGAAGAAGGCCCUCGGGUUGUAAAGCACUUUCAGUGAGGAAGAACGCCUGGUGGUUAAUACCCAUCAGGAAAGACAUCACUCACAGAAGAAGCACCGGCUAACUCCGUGCCAGCAGCCGCGGUAAUACGGAGGGUGCGAGCGUUAAUCGGAAUUACUGGGCGUAAAGCGCGCGUAGGUGGCUUGAUAAGCCGGUUGUGAAAGCCCCGGGCUCAACCUGGGAACGGCAUCCGGAACUGUCAAGCUAGAGUGCAUGAGAGGAAGGUAGAAUUCCCGGUGUAGCGGUGAAAUGCGUAGAGAUCGGGAGGAAUACCAGUGGCGAAGGCGGCCUUCUGGACUGACACUGACACUGAGGUGCGAAAGCGUGGGUAGCAAACAGGAUUAGAUACCCCAGUAGUC
rnacentral:rRNA from 1 species